ensembl:snRNA U6 U6 spliceosomal RNA
GUGCUCGCUUCAGCGGCACAUAUACUAAAAUUGGAACCAUGUAGAGAAGAUGAGCAUGACCCCUGUGCAAGGAUGACACACCAAUUCAUGAAGCAUUCCAUAUUUAA